UUUAAAUGUAAAAUAAAAAUACUAAAGUAGUAUUAGUUAUGUUCUUGAAAUUUAAAGAUUUUGGCGGUAUUUUAGUCUAUUUAGAGGAGCCUGUUCUGUAAUUGAUAAUCCACGAUUAAUUUUACUUAAUUUAUAUAAAUUUGUAUACCGUCGUUAUAAGAAGAUUUUAAAAGAAUAUAAAUUUUUAAUAUUUUAUAUAAAAAAAUAUAUCAGAUCAAGGUGCAGUUUAUAAUUAAGGAGUAAUGGGCUACAAUAAAUUUAUUUAUACGGAUUAAAAUCAGAAUAUGAUUUUAUGAAGGUGGAUUUAAUAGUAAUAAGAUUAAUUUAAAUUUUAUGAUUUUAGCUCUAAAAUAUG
rnacentral:rRNA from 1 species